AAGAAUACGACGCCCACAUUCCCAAAGAGGUGGUGUGGGGCAGAGACAUCACUUCCUGGGAUUAAACGCAUGUGUGCUUCCAGGUACUAGGAAUAAAGGCAGCAGAAGCAGACUGUGUGAUUACCAGCACCUACCUGGUGGCUCAUUACCAUCUGUAACUCUAGUUCCAGAAGAUCUGAUACUCUCUUCUGGCCUCUGGGGGAACCAGACAACUACAUGAUGCACAGACAUAAAUGCAGGCUUGGCCAGGCUGUGUCGUUCCCCAGCUGACACUGGGCUCACCCAGCACCUGCCGUAUUGCUUCUUCUUGAACUGGAGGUGUUUGCACACAUCAGCUUUCCCCUGGACGGAGGUGUGUGUACUCUUCUGUAUGGAAGCCCUGGCUACCCUGGAUCUUGUUUGUAGACCAGGGGUUUUGUCUGCAGCAGCAGAAGAGGAAGACAGUACAACACGGGGUGGCCAGAGUGGGCACCAGGGCCGCAGAGACCUUUUCAUGCCACUGCCGGGUGAGAGCAUGAGCAGGUGCCAUCCAGACAGAAUAUCACUCCAGCCCUACAACCCUUCUGAUCGCGUAAGCACGGCACACGCUCUGCACUGAGCUUUCCACCGGGGCGGCUGACACAGUGCCUGGAGUUCCCGUCCAUCUGCUAGGACUUGGGAUUCCGCCCCCCCGCCCCCCAAGCACCCCCAAACAAGCCAGGCAUUACUUAUGACAGCAGAUAUGUUCCUGGAAAUCUUGGGGCUGGUCCAUUACACAGCUCAGCAGUCACCCAGGAAGCCUGGUCCGACAGAAAGAAAACCUGAGUUUCUGUGUGGAAACUCCCCAGGACCACACGGAGUGCCUAGUGCCUGGUAGUACUGAAGCAAGUGAAGACCAGCAGGGAAAGCUCCCCGUCAGGAGAGAGUGAGGCAGCCUUGUGUCUGCCAGAACCAGAGUGCUCACACACUCUCAUCUGCACUUUACAACAAAUUCAAGAAAAAAAUCCCUCACCUCUCCUUUUUUGGUCACUUCAGCUUUUCUCUGGUGGCUUUAAAAACGUCUUUUCUUCCAUGACACACUAGGAAAGGCACUUUUGGAGCUGCGGCAUAGUUAUAAAUGACUCCCCACAACUGUUUUUUAUUUUCGUUUUGUUUCACUGGCUGAGAAUGUAAAUUGAACUCCAGGGCUAUUGUGCUUUGUUCUGCCUCUCUGUGGAAAUGUGUUCCGAAUUAAAGUCCGCGGGUAAGGCAGAGUAGUCCUGAAUGUGGCCCUGCAGGUUUGGAAAGGCCCCCAGAGCCAAGAAAAGACAGAGUGCAAUUUUAUGAGCCCCAGAUGGUGUGGUGGGUGUCGCGGAUGUCUUUAUGUGGGGGAUCAUGGGUUCAGGUUCCAUCUGGAGGGAACUCGGAGGGAGCCCUUCAUAUCUAGGGGAGAGAGAUGGGUGCUUGGGCAGGAAAUGUAGCCACCUGCAGGCUCUGCAUGCUGCCUUCCUGGCCCAGCCUAGCAUCCCCAGAUGUAGCUGUGGGAGAAGAGGUUGAGAGGCUGAGAACAAAGGGAAGCCACCAAUUCUGUCCCUGCCACCUUCUGUGUCCAGCCACUGUGCUGUGAAGAUUCUUGAACCAGCUUUUCCCUUGCUUGCUCUGGGGAGUCAGUCUGGUCUCUCAUUAACUCACUCCUGAAGGAAGUAGGACUGAUUUUACAGCAGACCCAGCAGGAAUGUUGACUUUUUAACAUUGGGAUAUGAUGUUGUCAAGUUCAAGUUGGAGAUCAUGUAAUUGAGUAACAAAGUUUUUUAAAAGUAAAAGAAAAUAGAAAAACAAAACCCUUAUAAUGUGCUAAGUAUUUUAAUGAUGUGGAGCCAUGUCUGCAGCUAUCUCUGGCUGCAUGGUGCUGGUGGAGGGUGUGGAUGGGGCAGGAGUGGUGCAAAGGGUGGACAUGCCUGCUAAGGCCAUCAAGACACGGUGGUCCUUAGAGAGGGAACCAUCAAAAGGAAGUUGCUAAGACAGUCUCCGCUGAAUAAAGUGGGUACAAAUGCUUCUUG